UACGGAGGGAGCUAGCGUUGUUCGGAAUUACUGGGCGUAAAGCGCACGUAGGCGGAUUUGUAAGUCAGGGGUGAAAUCCCGAGGCUCAACCUCGGAACUGCCUUUGAUACUGCAAAUCUCGAGUCCGGAAGAGGUGAGUGGAAUUCCUAGUGUAGAGGUGAAAUUCGUAGAUAUUAGGAAGAACACCAGUGGCGAAGGCGGCUCACUGGUCCGGUACUGACGCUGAGGUGCGAAAGCGUGGGGAGCAAACAGG
rnacentral:rRNA from 1 species